rnacentral:rRNA from 1 species
UACGUAGGGGGCAAGCGUUGUCCGGAUUUACUGGGUGUAAAGGGCGCGCAGGCGGAAUAUCAAGUCAGAGGUGAAAUCCUACAGCUUAACUGUAGAACAGCCUUUGAUACUGAUAUUCUUGAGUUCGGGAGAGAGACGGAAUUCCAGGUGUAGUGGUGAAAUACGUAGAUAUCUGGAAGAACACCAGUUGCGAAGGCGGUCUCUUGGUCCGAUACUGACGCUCAUGCACGAAAGCGUGGGGAGCAAACAGG